UUCGGGCCUUGGGCUGCUAAGGUAAGCACAUGUAGCCCUAUCCAAUGACCACACGCAUAACAUGUUAUAUUGCGCCCUUACCCAUUGGGACAGUUCGAACCGGAUUCGGCUCGUAGUAUUUUAUCUGUCCAACGAGUUUAGUCAAUUAUCCAGAAUUUACAAAUUUCAGAAAAGGUCCUAAUCUUCAUGCAUACUAGUUGUUGGGGCGCAGCCUUGCUGCGUCGCGUGAGGCGUGCCGUUGCGGUGCUAGGUAGGCACUCACUCUUUUCUCUUGCUUCUUUGUGAUUUGUGUGAUGCAUCUGCAUGCAAGCUAUGAGAGCCGCUUCAACAAAAUAUAUAGGUUGUUCACGUGAGAAUAAACCGCAUCAUAUGCAAUAGCAUAGUCAGGUGCAAGUUGCUGGUUGGAAAAACAAGAAAAAAAAGAACUGAUGAUAGAUUGUUUUGAUGAGCAAUAUAUUGGUGCUUAGUAGAAUUAAGCUCACAUGACUUGUUCUUACAGAUUUGUAAAUGAUUAUAGAAGAAUAUAAGAUUCCUACAAACAAUAGAUGAGACAUAAGUAUACUAAGUGAUUGCGAGAUGACCGAGGCUGAGCCCCGCCACCUCCUCCAUCCUUGCUGCCAAAACGGGGAUGAGUCCCUGAACCUCAUCACCACGCCCAGAUUAUCUCCUCCUCCCACUCCGAUUUCUCCGUUGGAAGCUCAUUCCUGCAAGGAUGUCGUCUCUGUCGCCCUCUUUCUUGGCCUGACAGUGGGAGUCCAGUAGCAAGCAAAAGGUGAUACAAACGGGUAAGUGUUUGUGGUAUCUUGAUGUCACAAACAGAUACCAAGAUGAAAAUGCAUGAUACAAGGCACCGUACCUUUAUCUGUUAGAUCUGAAAUGCAAAGAAAACAAAAAUAAACAAGUAAAUUUCAUCAAAGUAGUAAUGCAUCCUAACAAAAAAAUGUGCAAAAAGUUGUAUGCAAGAGUUAUGAUUUAUAAGGCUUAGCUGCACAAUUCUUUUCAACAAAAUAUCUAUAGAUACAAAUGGCAAGAGAAAUGUUGUACUGUUCACAACAUGGUUAGAGUGCGGCUUCCAAUGUUAUAAAUCAGUCGCCAAAUGUUUCCAGCAAGAAAGUUCUUGCUGACAAGGAGGUAAAAUACUAUUUUAUUUUCAUUUGACAUUGACAUAACAAAAGGUUGGUAAAUAUCAUGAAAUGCUUUCCCCUUAAACAAUUAUGUUCCUCACAGGAAACAUUUGAUGGCAUCAAUCUUUUUUCAAUUAUGACAAUCAUUUUUCUUGUUAGUCCCGACGACACCUUUGAUUUCAACAUCUUAUCAAAUUGUUGCAGAGGACUAAUAUUAUAUAGCAGAUACAGAUCCAUUAGAAAAAUGCCGUGACCAGAAAUUUGAUUUUUGCAUCUUAUCAAAUUGUUGUUGGUCCUGACCACACCUUUGUAUUGUGUUACCUUUCUUGCACAGGAGACGCUCUUAUGUGUUUUGAAGUCGUAACUCGGAAUUUCAACAACUUUACCAUGUUUUAGUGUUUCCAUACAAGAGAGUAGUAAAUCGGUACCAAAUACAUCUGCAAUUAGGACAGGAGCAGCAUCAAUAACAAAGUGAGUCCACAUCUCUUGCCAAUAGCACAAAAACACAUCAGGUUCUCAUGAAACAUGCGUUGUACCUAGAUGAUCAAAGUUAUAAUCAUGAACACAGAAUGAUUCCUCGUUAGAUAGUCCGUAAUAAAAUGACUCUUGUGAUAUUUGAGGUCAAAAUUCUUAUUGCUUGAGAGAUUUUACCCAUCAUAUGAUUAUAAUAAAAUUAUAGCAAAGGAUGUUGAUAAAAAAAUUGAUUGCAUAGUUAAUGAAACCACACACAUAUAAAACAAGAGAAAUAAACUAUUAGUGUCUUUAUCGAGAAAAACUGUAUUGUCCAAUUAUCAUAAGAAGCGUAAUCAGAGUUGUAAUACACAAAACCUGUGUAAUAACAAUUAUACACUGAUUGCAUAGUUGAUUGAAGAUAAUUUUGCAAACAGUAUUUUAACUUGAAGAAAGCAAAAAAGGUUUGUUGUCAUCAUAUGAUGGGUGAGGUGCAUUUGGUGUAGAAAGGUUGUACCAUGUCAGUGACUACAAUUCACUGAACUUCUGCUACCAAACAGAAAGAACAGAACCCAUUGAGUAAAAACAAAUGGUUCCUGGUGCCCAUUCCUCCAGGCUUCACAUCAUUGGUAGCUCCUCCCCCGACAAAGAAUCUUUCAGGUCCAGCUCGUGCAAACGGAGUGCUGGAUGAUGGACCCGAGUCGCGGUAGCAUUAAGCACUUCGCGUGUCGAGUACGUUCCCAUCUAGUGUUCAACAAACCUACAGUCACCUAGAUAUAAAGUAAAAGGGUAAAAUUAGGAUGUUAAAAAGCCACUUAGAUCCACGUCUUGGUGCAAAAUAAUUAUUAAAUGAUUAUACAAGCCUUUAAGAUGAAGAUCCCAAUAACAAAAAUGUCCAUAAAUGAUAAGACAUUGCGAUAAAAUAAUUUUGUCUUCUAUAAAUGUAUCCUUGAAAAGACAGAAUAUAAGUGUGUGAAAACAGUUUGUCCAGAAGACCAACCUUAUUCCUUUCCUCAGGCGCUAUGCAUACAUUUUGAGAGCUCAUGGCAAGACCAUCGACUUCUUGCACUCUAUCUGAUCCUACUAUCUCUAUGGCAAAAUCAAGGUCGCAAACCUGAAAAUACCAUGAGCGUAUAUAACUAACUGGAACACUGAACAAAAUGGUCCAGAUCCAAUCGUAUCUAUAGCUGAUGCAAUGAGAAAGGAAACUUUGCAAUUUUCUCCAUCAUUAUAAUCGGAAAAGUCAUGGCCGAGUCACUGGAAUGGCAAUGCCAAGAACUGAAUAAUUUGUUCAGGCAAUUAAAAAUAGCAUCAUGAAUUUUGUCGCACACAAACUCAUGCAUGCUGACUCGGCGAAUACUUAAUCCUAAGGGUCAGACUGCAGGGUCUAAGACAAUAGUCCGUUUUUGCAACAGACCAAAUGAGUACACAACCCAACCUUCAGAAAGUACUGCUGCAAUGUGCCUCUCCCUAAGUUCUACAAAAAAUUCAGCACAUACCAGACGCAAGAUAAAUUACAACAAGGUUGAAUAUCAUCAUAAAACUCGCAGAUGCAAAGAGUAUAGUUACUCUUCCUGUGUAGUGUUUAGGCACUAAGAGUUAGGAUCUACUUUGCACGUUCAUUUCUCGUGUCAUAAAGCUACGUCUUGUUAACUUGGUUCGAUUUGCAUGUCACAGACGUUGAACUAAAUGCAUAACCCUAGAUGGAAGCAGCAAUGCUUGGGCUGUCGCUGAGCUCACCAAGAGGAUUUUAGCAUGCGCAUUAGCCAUGUAUAUCAUCUAAAAACAACAAACUCGACAUAACAAGUAGAGCUUAACCUGGAAGCUAUCACAAUGUACAAGAUCUCCUAAUGCAAUUCUCUUCUCAUAAUCCACCAUUGGACCAUCUGUGGAACAUCUGCACAGUUUGGGACAGUAAUCGGGUUAAUUCAAAUGCCUUCAGCAGAAAAUAAAAAGGGCUCCAAGCAUAAAAGCGUAAUGAAAAAUGAAACCUUUAACCGGAUCAGCCGAUAACCAAAUGAAUUGGCAUAUGGAAGAGGCUUAAAUAUCAUUGAAUGAGAAGAAUUAUAUGCUAAAUUUAUAAAUAACUGAGAUGAAUAUUAUAAAUUGUUUGGAUCUAAGUCUCCAACUUAGAGAAAAGUAAACGCGGGCUCCAAACCUAUCCUAUGAAAAAAACAUCAAGAUAAGUAACUAAGCUAAAAUUCUACCAUUUCUCACCGGAAGUGCAAAACCUUUUAACAUAAUAGUCGGAUGGUUUAGUUUUGCUUGGUCAGGUUUGCCUUUAAAUCAAUUUAACACUAAAAUGACCCAGAAUAGUCUAAUGCUCGAGAGACUUUUUCAUUUGCUGGCAAUGGAAGCUGGUUAAGUAGCAUUCAAAUUAAAGGGAAGAGGAUGUGAGCAUUAAGAAGGUGAGAACAUAUCCUCCAAUUCACAGAUUCACUUAUUUUCGUCAGCAGCGAUAUGUUCCUCAGCUUCUCCGAACAACAUGUGACAUGAAUGUAUGAUUAAAUAUCAUGAGACAAAAUAACGCAUGAACCGUACAGUGUAGAUCAGGAGAAGAUCAUCGAAAAAGAAAAAAACAAAGAAGGGGAAGAAAAAGAAAGUGAACAGCUAAAAUCAAAGGACCAAACACUCAACAAACAGCUAAAAUACCCCAACAAAAAUCCAAAGGAGCAGCAAAAGCAAGAAGAAGAAAUCAGAACAGAAAUAGGAGACGUCAAUCAUAUAAAGGGUAUGAAAGAAAUUAGCCAACUACUUGUAGACAAUAACAUAUUGGAUAUCCUCUUGCUCUUGUAAGGAAGUUGCUAAUCUAGGAUUAAGAAUCAACAUUUCGAUGGAAAACUGAAAGAGAAGUGUGGAUCUUACCUUGCCAAAUGAAGGGGCCUCAUCCUCGCCCCCACUCUCUCAUGACGCCACUGAAGAACAUGCCCCUGGGAAGCUCCAGUUUCAACAGUUAAACGAUCAGUUGCGAAAGUCAAAUAAUCCAUGCUCGAUUUUGAAGCUAGCAGUCUACCCAACACAUGGGUCCCCUAUCUGUAGCGCAUCUCAGACUAGGCAAACCAACCGGCAUUGGGAUCUCGCGGAAACCACGGAGGCUGGGGAUCAAAGAGACGAACCGUGGAACUCGCGGAGGCCGGGGACCUCGUUAGUGCCGGCCUUCCUGAAGCUACGAAAGUCGAGGGGGUUGACCACGACCACCAACGCCGGCUAAGACGCCGGUCAUCACCAUGCGGCGCAGACGAGGCACGGUGGAGACGAGCAACAUGAGAAGGCGGUGGUUGUUCUCCCCUCCCUCUCGGUUCGAUCUGGACGGCGGGAGCACCGCGUCUCCUAGGCUGCCGCCUCGCUCGGAGAAGAUGCCGCCGAAAGAAGAUGCAGACGAAAGAUAGAGAGAUGAUAGGUUGCGUGUGGUGGCAGAGAACGUGGAGUGUUUGGGUUGGGCUGCGUACGUGCGUACAGAGGCCUUUUACUUCCUUUAUAAGAUUUCUUUCCUUUUUUUCAUCGCUGCGUACAGUAAAGCCUUGCCGACGUGGAUAGCGCCAGCGUUCGCCCCUUCUGCGUAGCUUAUUGUGUUUGAUAAUAACUGUUUAACUGUAUGUCGGAUUGAAACACUUUAUAUAUGAAGCUUAACUAAAAUUUUACGUAGAUUAAUAAUUUCCAACAUUGAUCCAUGUUAAAAAUAUUUAAAAUGUUGGCUGCAUGAAGUUUGCAGAAAUACUAUUAUGUUGCAUAAUUGUUGUGUCAUUUUUUCCAUAGUAAAUACCCACAUGUUAUAUAUGAUUUUGGGGUAGAAAAAUCCAUAGAAUCCAUCUAUGCAAUUAGCUUUGUCAUUUGAACAAAUUUGUGUCUAUGCUAUUUUGUUUUGAUUCCCUUCUGUAUUUUGUGUGAUCUAAUAUGUGCAUCGAAAUUAAACAAACUUAAUAUUAAACAAACUUAAUAUUAAUAUUGUGUUGUGAACAAUUUAAACUUAAUUUUGUGUAGAUUCACAAUAUCCAACUUCCAUGCAUGUGUAAAAUAUUUAAACAUGUUGUUUGCAUUGUUUUGCGCAAAUGCCAUGUUAAAAUGAUUUAUUUCACAACAAAAUAACUGUAGCUCCAAUUUAAAUAAACCUUAUAUGGAAAAUAUUGUGUUAAUGUGCUCUACAUGAUUGUGGCAUUACAUGCAUAAUAGGUUGCAUCUACAUGCUCAAAUCUCUGUUGUAAGUGCAUCAUGAAUAUGUUUAAACUGUUAUUUUGUUUAAUAUUGUGUGGAUGAUUGCAUCUAGUCCAUCGGUCUUCCGUAUAUGGUUCCUUCAUGAGAAUUUCUCUAGGAUAUGUCUACUUUGAUGCCAAGCCUCUAGUUGCCAUGUAGAGUAUCAUUAACAAGUUCGUUUUUUGCUCCCAAUGUGCGAUCAUGUUAAAAACUACAAUCUGUUUUCUUAAAGUUUCAUUUUGUGAAGCUUGAAGUAAGAAAAUCAUGCCUAUUUUGAUUGUGCGAAAUGGAAUGAUUUGUAGUAGGCUAUGACUAGUUGCUGCUAGUAGGUUUCUCAUGCCAUGUAUGCCAUGCUUCGUUGUAGUUUGCAUCAUGUGAACAUGCUAAAAUGAUGUUGUUGUUUGGUGGGGUAAAAUAUUUCGGAGUGUCGUGUUGUGUUGAUGCUAGCUAUGAAUGUGUGCAUAUUUAGACCUUGCUAGUGUGAAAUGAAAUGAAGUGCAUCAUGACUACUACCAUGCGAUAAAUUUUCAUGCCAUUAUAUGACUUGUAGCAUGUGUUUUUCUUGAUGCAAAUAUGCCUUCAUGACAAAAACUGCACUGCUACAACUGAUAUUUUCACUAAGUUUGAAAUUGUGUUCAACUUGCCAUUUUGUGAGCUCUUUUCUAGUGAUCCAUGCUUCUAUUCAAUUUGUCGUUAAGGGGUAAUUGUUGUGCAUCUUGUCCACUACUGCCUCAUGUCUUGUUUGAGCAUUUUAGAUUCCUAUAGCUCGUUGUUUUGAUGUGCGCACAGUGAAAUGUUGCUGUUUUUGGGUCAAUUAUGUCUACUUUUAUUAGUUGUGUUUUUUGAAUUGUUGCUCCAUUUUGAACAUGUCAUAUAUGAAACUUGUUUAGAAUCUCAUGUAGUUUCAUAAUAUCUUGUUGCAUACAUGAUUUAACAUGCUUGUGGCUGUCAUUUGCAUACAUUUUGUAUUCAUGCUAUAUUAUCUUGUGUUGGUCAUAUCUUUUAGACUGUAACUCCGUUUUAAAUGGUCUAUAUAGGUAAAUUGACUAGAAGUAUGCAUAUAAUCACAUGGUCUACUUUAUUUUCCUGUUUAAUAAUUAUAAAAUGUGUUUAGGUCAGAUCUGGACCAAUUUUGAAAUUAACCUAUGGGGUGAUUUCAGAAAUGCUAUAUGUGGUUUCUGACCUCAUUUAAAAUGUCUAGAUAAUGUAGUUUAUUUGUGCUUCACCUCUUGCCAUGUUUAAAAACAUUUAUUAUUGUCGUGUACCAAACGGGAUGAACUAAGUAAUUCAAAUGUGGAGUUUCGUCAAUAUGCAACUCAUUGCAUAUUGGGCUUCACUUAAUGUGUAGAAGUUGAUUGUUGUGUUGUGUCGUGCCUUGCAUAAUUAAAAUCGACAUGCAUCAUAUUUGAUUGUGCAUCAUGUGAAGAAUAUGUUGUGGUGUUAUCGCGUGUUGAUUGUUUGUUUCUGGAUUGUUUCUUCUUGAUAGAGGUCCGAAACUGCUUUGGAGUGUGAGGAUUCGUUUGACUACGUUGGUUCAUCUACUUCACGAUUGCGUUCUUCUUCCAAGAGGGGUCUCAGGAAAGAUGAUCAUUUCCCUAGAUACCACUACUGUCAUUGCUAUGUUAGUUGUCUCAUUUCUAUCGCUAUCUCUCACUGCCUAACACCUGUUAUGUCAAGCCUCCCAUGAUUGCCAUGAGAAGCCUCUAAUCCCCUCCACAUCCCAGCAAACCUUUGUUUGGCAAUGUUACCGCUUUAUCAGCCCUUCUUAUAGCAUUGCUAUUUGCAGGUGCAAGUUGCUUCCCAUGUGACAACAUGGUUUCCUUGAUAUAUCACAAUUUUAUAGCUAUUUAAUCUAAUGCACCUAUACACUUGGUAAAGGUGGAAGGCUUGGUCUUCUGGCUCGGUGCUUUGUUCCAUCUUUGCCGGCCUACUUACUGGUGUACGAGUGUUCUGUUCUAUACUGAGCGCUCUAACAUGCUUGGCUUUGUUAUGGGACCCCCUUGAUUUUCAUUUUGGGAUAAAACUCUUCUGACCAGGCCUAACAUUGGUACUACAUUUGCCUAAUAGCUGAUAAAAAGCAUAGGACCCGCCGACACCCGUGGAUAAUUAAUCAACCCCCGGGCCAUUUCUCCUCUUGAGUGUUGGUCCAAACAGAUCCACUUGCAGGGGCCACCCGGGGAAACUCGGGGGAUUUCUAUCCGACCACCAUAUGUACUGCUCAUCAGGUAGUGCCCUGAGAAAGAGAUACACAUGGAUCCUAUUAGGAUCUCGCCUGCUGGGCGGCCUUGCUGGAUUUUUUUACCUUAUGCGCGGAAUUCUGAGGAUACUUUGGGCUAUCUCGAGGUUUAUAUUUUCUAUGCGCGGAAUUCUGAGGAUACUUUGGGCUAUCUCGAGGUUUAUAUUUUCUAUCAGAAUUGUCGAGGAGACUACGGGUUUCCAAGGUUGAGGUUAUUCCAUGCAGCUUGUGGUAGUUUGUGAUGGACUAGUUGGAGCACCCCUGCAGAGUUUAAUCUUUCAGAGAGACAUGCCCAAGGUAAUGUGGCAACUUGGAAACUUUUUUAACACCCGGUCAUAGCAAACUUGUAGUAAACUUAAGUAAAACAUGCCAAUUGUGUGCGUAGGUGUGACUGUCUCUACUUGUAAGUUUUGAAUACGAGGGAAGACACGACGGGUUUAUAUUUGACUCGUAAAUACAUGUUCAAGGUCAUUUCUUGAUCGUUAUAAGUUCACGUCUGUUUAUGCGUAGAUCACCCCCCUCUUAUUCUUGUACUCGUAUGUUAGCCACUCAAAUAAAUGCUUAGUUGCUUGCUGCAGCUAACCAUACCUCACAAAUUAAGCUCUGCUAGUCUUGGUACCUUUGGAAAUGAGAUUGUUGAGUCCCUGUGGCUCACACAUUACUACAACAACAGUUGCAGGUACAGGUAAAUCGAUACUUUGACGUGACCGCGAUGAUUGUGCUAUUUGGAGUUUUUUCCACUUCUUCUUCUUCUUUGAUCAUAUGAUGGGUUUCAAGCCGGCAGUACGGGAUAGCCAGGAUGGACGUCAUUUUAUUUGGUUGAUUUUGUCCAUAGUCGGACACCGCUCUUCUGAAUGUGAUUGAAUGUAUUUUGUAUUGAGAUGAUCAUGAUUAGGUUGUGGCGAGUGUAAGCUAAUUCCAUAUACUCAUCUCUUCUUUACAUGUACUUGUAACGAUAUCCAUUCUUGUGAAAUAAUGAGAUGCGCUUCUAUC
rnacentral:lncRNA from 1 species